CCUAGAAAAAAAUAUGUUUGUUUCCGCUUUCAGGCUGUAAAAAUAUAGGGUAGGUAGGUAGGCAAAUUUUUUUUUUUUGAAAUUUUUUUUUUUUGCUUCUUUAAUCAAAACAUGUAUAGAAGAAAUAUCAAUGACAAAAGAAAUGGUGUUUUCAAGCAUUUCUGUGACUUAAACUUCUAAUAGAAAGGUUAAAAGCUUGCAAAGUUGGAGACUCUAAUUGCCUGGGUGAAAUCUUGCACUUCCUGGGACAAAAGCAUUAAAAAAAUUUUAGGGUCAGCAUUAUAAAUUAGGGUCAAUCGGGAAAGCAGAAACAAACAUAUUUUUUUUCUAGGCCUUAUAUUGAGAUAUUAUCACAAACCACAUUACAAUGUACCCAUUCCACUAGCAUCUUACAUAUCACAGGUAAAUAAGUAAAUAUAUUUUCUUUCUAAUGAAAUUUGAACUUAAUUUCACCACUUCACAAUAACAUGCAUUCAUUCUUUUAUCUUGUGGAAUUAUUUAACCUGUUAAAUUUAAAAGGAAGUCAAUAUAUUGAAUUCCAAACAUGCACAGAUCCAGAAUGUUACAUGUAACACCUUUGAAGAUAAUAUCAUUAUGCAAGUUUUGUUUGUUUUUUGUUUUUUCAACUAUUUCUCUGAACUUUUAGGAUUCAUAAUAUUACAACACUGAUAAACAUCUUUGACAAGAUGCAGAGAAGUUCAAAAACAAAUGCAUCAUAUCACUUUGAGAUCUAAAAGACACUUUUGUAUAUAAAAUCACCAUAAAUGGUAAAGUUUUGAUGUAUCGGCUUGUUCAGAGAGAAGGACCAAAUGUAUUUAUUGACCUCACAGAGGACACAGACCCAGGAAUGAAAAUAGAGACAUUAUUAUUAGAAGUCAUGGAUGGUGAUGAAGACGAAGAGGAGGUUGAGGUCAAUAAGGAUUCUCCUGAAGACUUGGGAGAACCUAGUGCAGAUGGUGAUGAGGAUGACAAAUCCUAAAAUUAUUUGAUGAACUUAAAAAUGAAAAAGUUCUAUAAAAUUGGUUUUCCAAACAUUUAUCACAAUUAUACAUUGUUAUCACAAUUAUACAUUGUUAAACUGAAUUAAAAUCUAUGGAAAAAAUUAUGACUUUUUUUUUUUCCUUUUCUUUGAAAUGGUCAGAUAACUCUGUUUGUUUACAUGUCAAAAAGCGCGCGAAAAAAAAUGGCGUACCUCAUUACAUAACUUGGCUUUUAUAAACACUUUCACAUGUUCUGGUACGUUGAUGUUUCCGCAAGAUGCAUCACCACUCUGAAUUUCCACUAUCCGUAAUCCAGGAGAAUUGAAAAUGUUAACGAACCCAGAACUAAACAGUCUUCUGAAAAUCAAAGUGUCAAAGUCGACACUUGAUCCUACAUAAUCCCCUGGUCCUUUCCAGUCGCACCCUAAGAGUCCUCCUGAUGAUGGCGUGCAUUGCACUGAAUCAAUGAUAAACAUUUUCGAUUCACCAUGCUCAGUCAAUGUCAAAAGCAUUAACAUCAUCAAAAACCACAUUGUGAUGAAUUAAGCUCAUGCAGUUAUUAGAUCCAAACGCAAACUUACA